CGUGUGACAAACGGCUCGUCUGAAAUGCCUGAGUGUACCCUGCUUUGCGGCGUAUUCGGUGUGAUACAUCUUCACCGGAGUCCCGACCUUUUUGGGUCGCGCUUGCAACGAUUUGGCUCUAUGCUUCGAACCGUCCCCUGACAAGGACAAUACUCUGACAAUUUGACCUCAAAUCGGGUGGGACUACCCGCUGAACUUAA
rnacentral:misc_RNA from 1 species